UGGGGAAUAUUGGACAAUGGGGGAAACCCUGAUCCAGCGACGCCGCGUGUGUGAAGAAGGCCUGCGGGUUGUAAAGCACUUUCGAUGGGAACGAAAUGUGUCGGGCUAAUACCCCGGCAAGCUGACGUUACUCAAUGAAGAAGCACCGGCUAACUCUGUGCCAGCAGCCGCGGUAAUACAGAGGGUGCAAGCGUUAAUCGGAAUUACUGGGCGUAAAGCGCACGUAGGUGGCGACGUAAGUCGGGUGUGAAAGCCCCGGGCUCAACCUGGGAAUUGCAUUCGAGACUGCAUUGCUGGAGUACGGAAGAGGAGGGCGGAAUUCCCGGUGUAGCGGUGAAAUGCGUAGAUAUCGGGAGGAACAUCAGUGGCGAAGGCGGCCCUCUGGUCCAGUACUGACACUCAAGUGCGAAAGCGUGGGGAGCAAACAG
rnacentral:rRNA from 1 species